GGUUUGUGACCGGAGAGAGAUAUCAGGAGAUGAGAGAUUGGGAGAAAUCUGCUGCUGGUGUCAAGAGCGAUUGGAAGAGCAC